CUUUUGCAUAAUGAGCCUACGAGUUACUCAUCACCAGCGAGGUUAAGUACUUCAGGUACGUAAGCCGAAGCGAAAGCGAGUCUGAAUAGGGCGUCAAGUUGGUGGUGGUAGACGCGAAACCUUAGUGAUCUACCCAUGGGCAGGGUGAAGGUUUGGUAACACAAACUGGAGGCCCGAACCGGUAAACGUUGAAAAGUUUUCGGAUGACCUGUGGGUAGGGGUGAAAGGCCAAUCAAACUGGGAAAUAGCUCGUACUCUCCGAAAUGCAUUUAGGUGCAGCCUCUGUUGUUUUGUUCUAGAGGUAGAGCUACUGAUUGGAUGCGAGGGCUUCACCGCCUAUCAAAUCCGGCCAAACUCCGAAUGCUAGAACAUGAAGACAGGGAGUGAGCCAGCGGGUGCUAAGGUCCGUUGACGAAAGAGGGAGAACUCAGACCAUCAGCUAAGGUCCCCAAUUAUAUGCUAAGUUGGAAUAAAAACGGGGUGGGACUGCUUAGACAGCUAGGAUGUUGGCUUGGAAGCAGCCAUUCAUUUAAAGAGUGCGUAACAGCUCACUAGUCGAGCGGUCCUGCAUGGAUAAUACGCGGGCAUAAGCAUAUAACCGAAGCUAUGGGAUUGUAGAUGAUACAAUCGGUAGGAGAGCAUUCCAUUCAGCAUAGAAGCAGUACCGUGAGGUAUUGUGGAGCGGAUGGAAAAGCAAAUGUAGGCAUAAGUAACGAUAAUGCGGGUGAGAACCCCGCACGCCGAAAGAUCAAGGAUUCCCCGGCAAUGUCAAUCAUCCGGGGGUAAGUCGGAUCCUAAGGGUAAGCCGAGUGGCGAUCCCGAUGGUAAACAGGUUAAUAUUCCUGUACUGAUCAUAACUGCGAUGCAGCGACGCAGAGGUGACACUGCUGCGUACUGACGGAAUAGUACGUUGAAACCCGUAUUCUUUGAUACCGGUAGUGAAGCACGCCGGUAGAGAUGAAAGGUGAUAGUACCGCAAUGCUUCGGUUGCGCGGAUAAUGCAGGUAAGCUGACUGCCAAGAAAACCUGCUAAGCUUCAGGUAAUGAUCAUCCGUACUGUAAACGGACACACGUGAUCAGGUAGAAAAUACUAAGGCGCUCGAGAGAUUCAUGGUUAAGGAACUAGGCAAAAUGGUCCUGUAACUUCGGGAUAAAGGACGCUCUUGUGAAAGAGCCGCAGAUAAUAGGCCCAGGCGACUGUUUACCAAAAACACAUGGCUAUGCUAAUUCGCAAGAAGAUGUAUAUGGCCUGACACCUGCCCGGUGCCGGAAGGUUAAGAGGAGAGCUCAGAGGUAACUCGAAGGUUUGAAUUGAAGCCCCGGUAAACGGCGGCCGUAACUAUAACGGUCCUAAGGUAGCGAAAUUCCUUGUCGGGUAAGUUC
rnacentral:rRNA from 1 species